rnacentral:rRNA from 1 species
CCCGGAAGCUAAGCCUUACAGCGCCGAUGGUACUGCAUGCGGGAGCGUGUGGGAGAGUAGGACGCCGCCGGAC